GUGGGGAAUAUUGGACAAUGGGGGGAACCCUGAUCCAGCCAUGCCGCGUGUGUGAAGAAGGCCUUUUGGUUGUAAAGCACUUUAAGCGAGGAGGAGGCUACCGAGAUUAAUACUCUUGGAUAGUGGACGUUACUCGCAGAAUAAGCACCGGCUAACUCUGUGCCAGCAGCCGCGGUAAUACAGAGGGUGCAAGCGUUAAUCGGAUUUACUGGGCGUAAAGCGCGCGCAGGUGGCCAAUUAAGUCAAAUGUGAAAUCCCCGAGCUUAACUUGGGAAUUGCAUUCGAUACUGGUUGGCUAGAGUAUGGGAGAGGAUGGUAGAAUUCCAGGUGUAGCGGUGAAAUGCGUAGAGAUCUGGAGGAAUACCGAUGGCGAAGGCAGCCAUCUGGCCUAAUACUGACACUGAGGUGCGAAAGCAUGGGGAGCAAACAGGAUUAGAAACCCCGGUAGUCC
rnacentral:rRNA from 1 species